rnacentral:rRNA from 1 species
AGUAACGCGUGAGGAACCUGCCUUCCAGAGGGGGACGAACAGUUGGUAAACGAACUGCUAAUACCGCAUGAUGUGUUUCGUAUGGCAUCAUCGAGACACCAAAGAUUUAUCGCUGGAAGAUGGCCUCGCGUCUGAUUAGCUAGUAGGCGGGGUAACAGCCCACCAAGGCGACGAUCAGUAGCCGGCCUGAGAGGGUGAACGGCCACAUUGGGACUGAGACACGGCCCAAACUCCUACGGGAGGCAGCAG